CAAAAAAUACAUGAAGCAAGUCUGGUACUGAAAAACAAACAGAAAUCAGAAAGUUCUCUGUACUGAAGUCUUUCCUUUGGAGUGCCGUGGGGAAGCCUGGAACCUAUCCCAGGGAACUCGGGGCAAAAGGCAGAGGACACCCUGGACAGGGUGCCAACCCAUCGCAGGACACGAUCACACACACAAUCAUUCACACACUAUGGACAAUUUGAAAAUGCCUACAUGUCUUUGAAAUGGUGGAGGAAACCGGAGUACCCAGAGGAAUCCCCCAGGGCCCGGGGAGAACAGGGUGCAUACAGGGUGGAGGAAGGAAUUUAACCACCAUCCCUGGAGGUGUGAGGCAAACAUGCUAAUCACUAAGCCACCAUGCCCAUUAAUAUAGAAUCAAUAACACUUUAGAAAGUGUGCUUUAAUAUAUUCCUCUGAUUUACCUCACAGCUGGAACUACUGUCAGAGCUGCUUUUAUAGAAAAUUCAUCAAAAUCUGACCAAUCAGAUUUAAGAAUUCAAAAGUGUUGUAAUAUCACACUUAACAUCAUGAUGGCUUCUUUGGUUCCCUUCUCUCUUUUUUUUUUUUUUUUUUUGCAUGUUUACCCUAUCUGAAAGGAAAAAAAUCACAGUUACAAUGAUUGGCAAUAACAAAGAGAAAUGGUAGAAAUGGAGAAAAAUGCAGAUUUUUUUUCAACAAUAUUCUACAGUUUUCAAAGCUAGCAUGUCAAUGCCUCUGUCAGUCAUUUCCUAAAAAAGCUCACUCAGCCCUGCCCCAAUAGCUCGCAUCUGUCAAUCACAGAUUUGAUGGACUGUCUGUGUAUUCACAGUGCUGCGAUAUCUGAAUUUCAAAUGACCAGCAAGUUUCACACGAUUAAAAUUACACUAUAUCACUACAUAGAUCCAGG
ensembl:lncRNA